rnacentral:misc_RNA from 1 species
GAUGAAGAACGUAGCGAAAUGCGAUAAGUAGUGUGAAUUGCAGAAUUCAGUGAAUCAUCGAAUCUUUGAACGCACAUUGCGCCCACCAGUAUUCUGGCGGGCAUGCCUGUUCGAGCGUCAUUACAACCCUCAGGCCCCCGGGCCUGGCGUUGGGGAUCGGCGGAGCCCCCCGUGGGCACACGCCGUCCCCCAAAUACAGUGGCGGUCCCGCCGCAGCUUCCAUCGCGUAGUAGCUAACACCUCGCGACUGGAGAGCGGCGCGGCCACGCCGUAAAACACCCAACUCUUCUGAAGUUGACCUCGAAUCAGGUAGGAAUACCCGCUGAACUUAAGCAUAUCAAUAAGCGGAGGA